GUUUUAAUAAUUUAACAAAAAUAUUGGUCUUGUAAACCAAAAAUAAGGACAUAAACCUUUUAAAACU
rnacentral:tRNA from 1 species